UCUCCGUUGGUGAACCAGCGGAGGGAUCAUUACAGAGUUGCAAAACUCCCCAAACCAUCGUGAACCUUUACCGCUAAACAGUUGCUUCGGCGGGUGGCCAGGGGGCGCGCGCAAGCCCGCCCCCGGCCGCCGAGCCCGCCGGAGGAAUCCAAAAAAACCAUCGCUUUCAGUACCGGCCUCUCUGAGUUACUGUACUUUUAAUUAAGUCAAAACUUUCAACAACGGAUCUCUUGGUUCUG
rnacentral:misc_RNA from 1 species